UUCAGGCAUAAAUCAAAGUAUGAUUUGAAACGUGCGCGAACAUCUAACUGUUAAAAAGUUGCCGAAGAUUCCGAAUAUUUCGGGAAUUUAUUCAAGUAAGAUAAAAUGUAGAGUGGUUGCAAAAGACAUCCAUUCAUCUCCGGAAUGGCAAGAAAAAUCGUGUUCUCUGGCAAGCAGCACUCGAGCAGUCUUCAGUUGCUCUUAACGAAGUAUCAUUACAAUGAAAAAUAGGAAGAGACAGACGAAAGUUUAGAGCUAGUAGCUUGGAGUCGGAUGAAAGAUAACUUGAUCUACGUUCUUUGGGAACAGAUGUCCGAUUCUCAAAGAUUUUGAAAUCGUAAGGAAUGGGAGAAAGAAAGAAAAAAAAGUUAUCAGUGUUGCCAUAAGAAAAAUAAUGUGCGCCACAAAAAUUUGUUUACUGAAUAGAUUUUCAUUACUAUUACUACCCUAACUUCAGUUAAUUUAUCAUAAUAUACUCAAAUUCAAUAAAGUUAAUUUCCAGCCAUUUUCUCAAAAA